rnacentral:rRNA from 1 species
AUUAGUUGGAACUGUUGGGGAGGGGGGAAUACCAGGACGGUUCGAGAGCUAGCGACUAUGAUAAGGUUGCAUUCCCCAAAAUUUGUGUUCUUAUGUGAGACCAGACAAAAAUCUGAAAGGAUGAGACAGCAUAGAGGCCGGUUUGGGCUAAGAGGUUAUGAAGGAGUGGACAGUGGAGGUCUAAGCAGUGGCCUGGCACUUUACUGGCAUGAGUCGUGCACGGUGGACACAUUGGACAAAGAUGACAGGUAUAUUGAUGUGGUGGUGAAAAUCACAGAUUGUAGUGAGCAAUGGAGAUUGACACGUGUGUAUGGGGAGCCGAGAGUUGAAAAUAGACACCUAAUGUGGACAAAACUUCAGAAAUUAAGCACGGUUUCAGAUUUGCCGUGGUUGGUAAUAGGCGAUUUUAACGAAGCCAUGUGGGACUUCGAACAUUUUUCAGUAACUCCUAGAUCGGAAGGGCAGAUGGUCGCUUUCCGGGAUGCUUUGGAAAUAUGUGGACUAAUAGACCUUGGAUUUUCUGGUGUGCCAUAUACGUAUGAUAAUUUGAGAGGAGGCAAUGCAAACGCCAGAGUAAGAUUGGACCGGGUUGUGGCUUCAAAUGAUUAA